UGGGGAAUAUUGCACAAUGGGCGAAAGCCUGAUGCAGCCAUACCGCGUGUAUGAAGAAGGCCUUAGGGUUGUAAAGUACUUUCAGCGAGGAGGAAAGGUGAUAAAUUAAUACUUUAUCACUGUGACGUUACUCGCAGAAGAAGCACCGGCUAACUCCGUGCCAGCAGCCGCGGUAAUACGGAGGGUGCAAGCGUUAAUCGGAAUUACUGGGCGUAAAGCGCAUGCAGGCGGUUUGUUAAGCGAGAUGUGAAAGCCCCGGGCUCAACCUGGGAACUGCAUUUCGAACUGGCAAACUAGAGUUCUUGAGAGGGUGGUAGAAUUUCAGGUGUAGCGGUGAAAUGCGUAGAGAUCUGAAGGAAUACCAGUGGCGAAGGCGGCCACCUGGCAAGUAACUGACGCUCAGAUGCGAAAGCGUGGGUAGCAAACGGGAUUAGAUACCCCGGUAGUCCACGCCGUAAACGAUGUCUACUCGGAGUUUGGUUCCUUGAGAACUGGGCUCUUAAGCUAACGCAUUAA
rnacentral:rRNA from 1 species